CCUACGGGAGGCAGCAGUGGGGAAUAUUGCACAAUGGGGGAAACCCUGAUGCAGCGACGCCGCGUGAGUGAAGAAGUACUUCGUUAUGUAAAGCCCUAUCAGCAGGGAAGAAAAUGACGGUACCUGAGUAAGACGCCCCGGCUAACUACGUGCCAGCAGCCGCGGUAAUACGUAGGGGGCAAGCGUUAUCCGGAUUUACUGGGUGUAAAGGGAGCGUAGACGGCAGUGCAAGUCAGGUGUGAAAGGCUGGGGCUCAACCCGCGGACUGCAUUUGAAACUGUCCGGCUGGAGUGCAGGAGAGGAAAGCGGAAGUCCUAGUGUAGCGGUGAAAUGCGUAGAUAUUAGGAAGAACACCAGUGGCGAAGGCGGCUUUCUGGACUGAAACUGACGUUGAGGCACGAAAGCGUGGGGAGCGAACAGGAUUAGAUACCCCGGUAGUC
rnacentral:rRNA from 1 species